AGCUAUAUCACAUUGAAACACAAGUUCUCUUACGGUCACUGAAGUUAAGCAACGUCGAGCCUGGUCAGUACCUAGAUGAGUGACCACUCGGGUAUACCAGAUGCU